AAGCUGUAUAAUAUAUGAAUUCAAAUUCUUUUUGUUACAGUCAACAACCGACAAGAUGAAAUCCCUGAUCAUUGUUGCUCUCGCCCUUGCUUGUGUUUUGGGUCUGGCUACAGCCAACUAUGGUUAUUACCCAGCAACUGGUGGCAGUGGCUUCGGAAACGGAGGAAUUCUGGCUAUGAUCGGAUUCCUCUUCAUCUUCCUCAUCUUGUUCAGUAACAACAACACCAGCAGCAGCGGUACAAUUACCAUCACCAACGCUUCCGCUACUGGUUAAAUCUGAAUAAAACAAACCGACCGCUUAAAUAUUAUGACGUCAUCCACCUGAUGGAACAUUGGAGGAUUCUCAUUGGCUCAGGGCAACUCUGUGAUACUUGUUUUCUUGUUAAAGACCAUGAUUAUUAUUAUUGUUAUUAUUUCAAAUGCAGAAACGUUCCAUUUCAUAAAUUAAAAAACAAAA